rnacentral:lncRNA from 1 species
GCCAAUGUUCACCCUGUCCAGGAUGGCACCUGCUGUCGUCUGGGGCACGGACACCAUCCGUGUCACGUUGUUCCGCUUGACAUCGGCCCUGGAGUCUUCCUAUAGGGGAACAUGAAGACAUCGGUUCAGUUGCCUGUUUCCGCAGCUAUUCCUUGUCACACUCAACGCUGCUUCAGCUGUUCAUGGGACAGCAUAAAAAUACACCUUCCACACUCUGUCUCAGGAUGUUUAACUGCAGUCAGGGAAAGGCUGCAUUUUCAGAAAGACUCUGGCAGGUCUGAACACCCAUUGGCCACACUGGUGCAUGGGGUGCCUGAAAACAGGUGCAAACCCGACUCUUCACCUCCCAGAGUCAGAUUAGAAUUGGAGGCCAGUCUGCUGUUCUAUUAGUGAAUCCUGGGAAGGCCUCUUAGCUUUAAGGGGUGUGUGUGUGUGUGUGUGUAUGUGUGUCCAUUUUUUUUAAUUAAAAAAGUAUUUUAGUUGACACAUUAUUAUGGAUAUGAUUUGAUGUGUUGAUAAAUGCAUCUGUUUCAUGGGGAAGGGGGUGUGGGAAGGAGACGGGACAGGGAGGAUAGGGAGAUGUUGGCCAACAGGUACAAAAUGACAAUCAGAGAGGAGGAAUGAGCUCUGGUUUUCUCCUGCACAGUGGGGUGACUGUUUUCCAAUACUGUAUUGCAUAUUUCAAAAUAGCUAGAAGAGAAGAUUUGAAUGUUCUCACCACAAAGAAAUGAUACAUCUGGGGUGACAGCCAUGCGAACUAUCCUGAUUUGAUCAUUUUACAUCAAGGCCACUUUUGUUGGGACCCGAACCAAGCCCUGAGGUUUGAGACUUGGUCACUGGAAUACCUUGUGCUGGGCAAGUUCCCCGGGGUUCUUCUCAUUUGGUCUUUUCAGUUCUGUCCAAUCCAGAAACUUUUCUUUGAACAAAAUCGUCUCAUUGUGUUCAGUAAGUCUCCCAAAUAUCGCCCAGUCGGGCCGCCCCUGUCCUUUUCUGUAGGGUGGGAAGGGGGUUGGGAGAACAGACAGGAAAAGAACCAAGAUGAAGCCAAGCUUAAACAAAGGAAUCUAAAACACAUGCGGCUGCUGGAAAAAACCUCAAAGCCACUGACCAAGACGGCAGAUGGGGAGAGCACAGAAAGAUAGGAGGUCUUGUGCGGGCUUGGGAUUUCAGAAUUUGUGCUGUCCCCAAGAACACAGACCCAUCUUCGGUUGUGAAUCUGGCCUGGGAUGCAGCCACCUCUUAGAGCAACCCCCGCUGCUGCUUGUGCCCUGCUGUGCUACUGCCUCAGUCACUUCCUGCUUGGUCAAGACCACAGCUGCUGAUGUCACAGCUGAGGCACAUCAAAAAGGCUGCCUGAUUCAAAGAAAGCUGCCGGAUAAAUCAUAGAGCACAGACACUUCUACCUCAUGCUCUUAUGGGACUUUAGGAACCAAACAUAAGCACCUAUGGAAAAUGCACGGUGGUCUUGAAAGGCUGUGUGGUCUUUAUCAGAAAAUAUCUGAAUGACUGUCUCUUAUGUCAGUCCUACUCUGCAGGCUUGCUAAGAUGAUAAUUGAAAGGGCUUUUGGUUUCUGCUUUAGAAUCUGUCACUUAUGUUUUGAAGCGUUGUGAGCAAGCGAUGCAGCAGAUUGCAGGGUGAGGGGGAUGAACCUGGGCCAGAAGCCAGAUGUGUUUCUCCACGCACUGCCCUGACCUACAGCCGGAACUGGGCUCAGUGGUUUCAGCCUCAUUUGCUAAGAAGGGCUGGGUGCGUAAUCUUGGCUGCACCUUAAAAUCCCUGGGAGCUUUUAAGACAUAUUGACACAUAAACUGUAACUCACAUGAAACGAAAACACAUCUCUGGGGCUGGGCUGAGCAAAUGCCUUUUUUUUAAAGGCCCCUCAGGUGAUUCUGUCUCAGAGAUGUUGAAAACCAGUGGGUUAGGAGCUCAGUCAUCUACUUUCAGAUCUGUGAUUAUGCCACUAUUAAAUACAGUUGGCUAUCACAUAGAUUUUUAUGCUUUAGCUUGUUUUUUUUUCUCUGCUAUACCAAAUAAAAUCUUUUGAGCUGUUGUAGUUCCAGUCCUUAAAACAACAGUUGUUACCAUACUGAGGUUAAACAUUAGUGCAUUUGCUUAACAAGGACAUUAAAACUUCUUACCACACUGACAUAAUUUUAAUGAUUUCUAUAAUAAUUAAUAAGAAAAUCAAUAAUUGGAUUUUAAAGCAGGAAACUAGGCAGGAAAGUUGAAAUUCAUAUACCAGUUCAAUGGAAAACAUUAAAAUGUAGUUGUGUGAUGCCCAAUAUUCUAUGCUGUUUGUUGGUUCAUUGGUUUCUCAUCUAUUGUAACAGCACCCAUAGUUAAAAAGCACUACUUUUUUUGGUCUGAUAGUUAAAAAGACAACAACAAUCCUUUGCAUGUAAGAAUUUUUUUCUCAUAAUCACAAUUUUAGAGUUUGCACAUAUUCUAUUCAAUUUCAAAAAUAACUUUAAAGAGUCUAGUACCUGCAGGGAAUAUUACAAUUGCAAUCAUUGUUUUAAUACCAUCUCCUCUCCCUCUUCCCUUCCCAAAAGGUAUAAAGACAUAAACAUCAUCUGCUGCCAAAUAAAUCCUGGAAUUCGAGGGCGAUGCUGGGAAGGUACCAACCUUCGCCUUUUCUAUGGCGUUUGCGAACUCUCCUACCCACAGGAAGCAGCAGUGGGGAGAGAGCAGGAGGAAGCAGUCCCCACUAUUGAGCGCCGAAGCUCGAGGUUCCACCAGCCUGGUCUGCACGUGUCUUCUUCCUGAACACGAGGCAGACACUCACCGUCUUUCCAGACAGAACGGGGAUAGGACGCAC